CGGGACACGUGGUAUCCUGUCUGAAUAUGGGGGGACCAUCCUCCAAGGCUAAAUACUCCUGACUGACCGAUAGUGAACCAGUACCGUGAGGGAAAGGCGAAAAGAACCCCGGCGAGGGGAGUGAAAAAGAACCUGAAACCGUGUACGUACAAGCAGUGGGAGCACGCUUCGGCGUGUGACUGCGUACCUUUUGUAUAAUGGGUCAGCGACUUAUAUUCUGUAGCAAGGUUAACCGAAUAGGGGAGCCGAAGGGAAACCGAGUCUUAACUGGGCGUUAAGUUGCAGGGUAUAGACCCGAAACCCGGUGAUCUAGCCAUGGGCAGGUUGAAGGUUGGGUAACACUAACUGGAGGACCGAACCGACUAAUGUUGAAAAAUUAGCGGAUGACUUGUGGCUGGGGGUGAAAGGCCAAUCAAACCGGGAGAUAGCUGGUUCUCCCCGAAAGCUAUUUAGGUAGCGCCUCGUGAAUUCAUCUCCGGGGGUAGAGCACUGUUUCGGCAAGGGGGUCAUCCCGACUUACCAACCCGAUGCAAACUGCGAAUACCGGAGAAUGUUAUCACGGGAGACACACGGCGGGUGCUAACGUCCGUCGUGAAGAGGGAAACAACCCAGACCGCCAGCUAAGGUCCCAAAGUCAUGGUUAAGUGGGAAACGAUGUGGGAAGGCCCAGACAGCCAGGAUGUUGGCUUAGAAGCAGCCAUCAUUUAAAGAAAGCGUAAUAGCUCACUGGUCGAGUCGGCCUGCGCGGAAGAUGUAACGGGGCUAAACCAUGCACCGAAGCUGCGGCAGCGACACUAUGUGUUGUUGGGUAGGGGAGCGUUCUGUAAGCCUGCGAAGGUGGCCUGUGAGGGGUGCUGGAGGUAUCAGAAGUGCGAAUGCUGACAUAAGUAACGAUAAAGCGGGUGAAAAGCCCGCUCGCCGGAAGACCAAGGGUUCCUGUCCAACGUUAAUCGGGGCAGGGUGAGUCGACCCCUAAGGCGAGGCCGAAAGGCGUAGUCGAUGGGAAACAGGUUAAUAUUCCUGUACUUGGUGUUACUGCGAAGGGGGGACGGAGAAGGCUAUGUUGGCCGGGCGACGGUUGUCCCGGUUUAAGCGUGUAGGCUGGUUUUCCAGGCAAAUCCGGAAAAUCAAGGCUGAGGCGUGAUGACGAGGCACUACGGUGCUGAAGCAACAAAUGCCCUGCUUCCAGGAAAAGCCUCUAAGCAUCAGGUAACAUCAAAUCGUACCCCAAACCGACACAGGUGGUCAGGUAGAGAAUACCAAGGCGCUUGAGAGAACUCGGGUGAAGGAACUAGGCAAAAUGGUGCCGUAACUUCGGGAGAAGGCACGCUGAUAUGUAGGUGAAGCGACUUGCUCGUGGAGCUGAAAUCAGUCGAAGAUACCAGCUGGCUGCAACUGUUUAUUAAAAACACAGCACUGUGCAAACACGAAAGUGGACGUAUACGGUGUGACGCCUGCCCGGUGCCGGAAGGUUAAUUGAUGGGGUUAGCGGUAACGCGAAGCUCUUGAUCGAAGCCCCGGUAAACGGCGGCCGUAACUAUAACGGUCCUAAGGUAGCGAAAUUCCUUGUCGGGUAAGUUCCGACCUGCACGAAUGGCGUAAUGAUGGCCAGGCUGUCUCCACCCGAGACUCAGUGAAAUUGAACUCGCUGUGAAGAUGCAGUGUACCCGCGGCAAGACGGAAAGACCCCGUGAACCUUUACUAUAGCUUGACACUGAACAUUGAGCCUUGAUGUGUAGGAUAGGUGGGAGGCUUUGAAGUGUGGACGCCAGUCUGCAUGGAGCCGACCUUGAAAUACCACCCUUUAAUGUUUGAUGUUCUAACGUUGACCCGUUAUCCGGGUUGCGGACAGUGUCUGGUGGGUAGUUUGACUGGGGCGGUCUCCUCCUAAAGAGUAACGGAGGAGCACGAAGGUUGGCUAAUCCUGGUCGGACAUCAGGAGGUUAGUGCAAUGGCAUAAGCCAGCUUGACUGCGAGCGUGACGGCGCGAGCAGGUGCGAAAGCAGGUCAUAGUGAUCCGGUGGUUCUGAAUGGAAGGGCCAUCGCUCAA
rnacentral:rRNA from 1 species